UUUGUGCAAUGGGCGAAAGCCUGACGCAGCAACGCCGCGUGAGUGAUGAAGGCUUUCGGGUCGUAAAGCUCUGUCGAGGGGAAAGAAGUGUACGGGGGCUAAUAUCCUCUGUACUUGACGGUACCCCUAAAGGAAGCACCGGCUAACUCCGUGCCAGCAGCCGCGGUAAUACGGGGGGUGCAAGCGUUGUUCGGAAUUAUUGGGCGUAAAGCGCGUGUAGGCGGUCUGAUUAGUCUGAUGUGAAAGCCCUGGGCUCAACCCAGGAAGUGCAUUGGAUACUGUCAGACUUGAAUACGGGAGAGGGUAGUGGAAUUCCUAGUGUAGGAGUGAAAUCCGUAGAUAUUAGGAGGAACACCGGUGGCGAAGGCGGCUACCUGGACCGAUAUUGACGCUGAGACGCGAAAGCGUGGGUAGCAAACAGGAUUAGAUACCCUGGUAGUCCACGCCGUAAACGAUGAGUACUAGGUGUUGCGGGUAUUGACCCCUGCAGUGCCGCAGCUAACGCAUUAAGUACUCCGCCUGGGAAGUGCGGUCGCAAGACUAAAACUCAAAGGAAUU
rnacentral:rRNA from 1 species